rnacentral:rRNA from 1 species
CCUACGGGUGGCAGCAGUGAGGAAUAUUGGUCAAUGGACGCAAGUCUGAACCAGCCAUGCCGCGUGCAGGAAGACGGCUCUAUGAGUUGUAAACUGCUUUUGUACGAGGGUAAACGCAGAUACGCGUAUCUGUCUGCACGUAUCGUACGAAUAAGGAUCGGCUAACUCCGUGCCAGCAGCCGCGGUAAUACGGAGGAUUCAGGCGUUAUCCGGAUUUAUUGGGGUUAAAGGGUGCGUAGGCGGUCGGAUAAGUUAGAGGUGAAAUCCCGAGGCUCAACUUCGGAAUUGCCUCUGAUACUGUUGAGCUUGAGAGUAGUAGCGGUGGGCGGAAUGUAUGGUGUAGCGGUGAAAUGCUUAGAGAUCAUACAGAACACCGGUUGCGAAGGCAGCUUACCAAGCUGCAUCUGACGUUGAGGCACGAAAGCGUGGGGAGCAAACAGGAUUAGAUACCCCAGUAGUC